rnacentral:rRNA from 1 species
GCUCAGAGCGAACGCUGGCGGCAGGCCUAACACAUGCAAGUCGAGCGCACUCUUCGGAGUGAGCGGCGGACGGGUUAGUAACGCGUGGGAACGUACCCUUUUCUAAGGAAUAGCCACUGGAAACGGUGAGUAAUACCUUAUACGCCCUUCGGGGGAAAGAUUUAUCGGAGAAGGAUCGGCCCGCGUUAGAUUAGAUAGUUGGUGGGGUAACGGCCUACCAAGUCUACGAUCUAUAGCUGGUUUGAGAGGAUGAUCAGCAACACUGGGACUGAGACACGGCCCAGACUCCUACGGGAGGCAGCAGUGGGGAAUCUUGGACAAUGGGCGCAAGCCUGAUCUAGCCAUGCCGCGUGAGUGAUGAAGGCCUUAGGGUCGUAAAGCUCUUUCGCCAGAGAUGAUA